GACGAACGCUGGCGGCGUGCUUAACACAUGCAAGUCGAACGGAAAGGCCCUGCUUUUGUGGGGUGCUCGAGUGGCGAACGGGUGAGUAACACGUGAGUAACCUGCCCUUGACUUUGGGAUAACUUCAGGAAACUGGGGCUAAUACCGGAUAGGAGCUCCUGCUGCAUGGUGGGGGUUGGAAAGUUUCGGCGGUUGGGGAUGGACUCGCGGCUUAUCAGCUUGUUGGUGGGGUAGUGGCUUACCAAGGCUUUGACGGGUAGCCGGCCUGAGAGGGUGACCGGCCUCAUUGGGACUGAGAUACGGCCCAGACUCCUACGGGAGGCAGCAGUGGGGAAUAUUGCACAAUGGGCGGAAGCCUGAUGCAGCAACGCCGCGUGCGGGAUGACGGCCUUCGGGUUGUAAACCGCUUUCGCCUGUGACGAAGCGUGAGUGACGGUAAUGGGUAAAGAAGCACCGGCUAACUACGUGCCAGCAGCCGCGGUGAUACGUAGGGUGCGAGCGUUGUCCGGAUUUAUUGGGCGUAAAGGGCUCGUAGGUGGUUGAUCGCGUCGGAAGUGUAAUCUUGGGGCUUAACCCUGAGCGUGCUUUCGAUACGGGUUGACUUGAGGAAGGUAGGGGAGAAUGGAAUUCCUGGUGGAGCGGUGGAAUGCGCAGAUAUCAGGAGGAACACCAGUGGCGAAGGCGGUUCUCUGGGCCUUUCCUGACGCUGAGGAGCGAAAGCGUGGGGAGCGAACAGGCUUAGAUACCCUGGUAGUCCACGCUGUAAACGGUGGGUACUAGGUGUGGGGUCCAUUCCACGGGUUCCGUGCCGUAGCUAACGCUUUAAGUACCCCGCCUGGGGAGUACGGCCGCAAGGCUAAAACUCAAAGGAAUUGACGGGGCCCCGCACAAGCGGCGGAGCAUGCGGAUUAAUUCGAUGCAACGCGUAGAACCUUACCUGGGUUUGACAUGGAUCGGGAGUGCUCAGAGAUGGGUGUGCCUCUUUUGGGGUCGGUUCACAGGUGGUGCAUGCCUGUCGUCAGCUCGUGUCGUGAGAUGUUGGGUUAAGUCCCGCAACGAGCGCAACCCUUGUUCACUGUUGCCAGCACGUUAUGGUGGGGACUCAGUGGAGACCGCCGGGGUCAACUCGGAGGAAGGUGGGGAUGACGUCAAGUCCUCAUGCCCCUUAUGUCCAGGGCUUCACGCAUGCUACAAUGGCUGGUACAGAGAGUGGCGAGCCUGUGAGGGUGAGCGAAUCUCGGAAAGCCGGUCUCAGUUCGGAUUGGGGUCUGCAACUCGACCUCAUGAAGUCGGAGUCGCUAGUAAUCGCAGAUCAGCAACGCUGCGGUGAAUACGUUCCCGGG
rnacentral:rRNA from 1 species